rnacentral:rRNA from 1 species
CAGGCUUAACACAUGCAAGUCGAGGGGCAUCAGGAAGAAAGCUUGCUUUCUUUGCUGGCGACCGGCGCACGGGUGAGUAACACGUAUCCAACCUGCCCUUUACUCGGGGAUAGCCUUUCGAAAGAAAGAUUAAUACCCGAUGGCAUAAUGAUUCCGCAUGGUUUCAUUAUUAAAGGAUUCCGGUAAAGGAUGGGGAUGCGUUCCAUUAGGUUGUUGGUGAGGUAACGGCUCACCAAGCCUUCGAUGGAUAGGGGUUCUGAGAGGAAGGUCCCCCACAUUGGAACUGAGACACGGUCCAAACUCCUACGGGAGGCAGCAGUGAGGAAUAUUGGUCAAUGGGCGCUAGCCUGAACCAGCCAAGUAGCGUGAAGGAUGAAGGCUCUAUGGGUCGUAAACUUCUUUUAUAUAAGAAUAAAGUGCAGUAUGUAUACUGUUUUGUAUGUAUUAUAUGAAUAAGGAUCGGCUAACUCCGUGCCAGCAGCCGCGGUAAUACGGAGGAUCCGAGCGUUAUCCGGAUUUAUUGGGUUUAAAGGGAGCGUAGGUGGACUGGUAAGUCAGUUGUGAAAGUUUGCGGCUCAACCGUAAAAUUGCAGUUGAUACUGUCAGUCUUGAGUACAGUAGAGGUGGGCGGAAUUCGUGGUGUAGCGGUGAAAUGCUUAGAUAUCACGAAGAACUCCGAUUGCGAAGGCAGCUCACUGGACUGCAACUGACACUGAUGCUCGAAAGUGUGGGUAUCAAACAGGAUUAGAUACCCUGGUAGUCCACACAGUAAACGAUGAAUACUCGCUGUUUGCGAUAUACAGUAAGCGGCCAAGCGAAAGCAUUAAGUAUUCCACCUGGGGAGUACGCCGGCAACGGUGAAACUCAAAGGAAUUGACGGGGGCCCGCACAAGCGGAGGAACAUGUGGUUUAAUUCGAUGAUACGCGAGGAACCUUACCCGGGCUUAAAUUGCAGUGGAAUGAUGUGGAAACAUGUCAGUGAGCAAUCACCGCUGUGAAGGUGCUGCAUGGUUGUCGUCAGCUCGUGCCGUGAGGUGUCGGCUUAAGUGCCAUAACGAGCGCAACCCUUAUCUUUAGUUACUAACAGGUUAUGCUGAGGACUCUAGAGAGACUGCCGUCGUAAGAUGUGAGGAAGGUGGGGAUGACGUCAAAUCAGCACGGCCCUUACGUCCGGGGCUACGCACGUGUUACAAUGGGGGGUACAGAAGGCAGCUAGCGGGUGACCGUAUGCUAAUCCCAAAAGCCUCUCUCAGUUCGGAUCGAAGUCUGCAACCCGACUUCGUGAAGCUGGAUUCGCUAGUAAUCGCGCAUCAGCCACGGCGCGGUGAAUACGUUCCCGGGCCUUGUACACACCGCCCGUCAAGCCAUGGGAGCCGGGGGUACCUGAAGUACGUAACCGCAAGGAUCGUCCUAGGGUAAAACUGGUGACUGGGGCUAA